GGCGAACGGGUGAGUAACACGUAGGAAAUCUACCUAAUAGACCGGGAUAACCAUUGGAAACGAUGGCUAAUAAAGGAUGAGAUAUAUAAAUGAGAAAGAUAUAUUAAAAGGGUGCCAAGGCACUGCUAUUAGAUGAGCCUGCGGUGCAUUAGCUAGUUGGGGAGGUAAGGGCUUCCCAAGGCGACGAUGCAUAGCCGGACUGAGAGGUUGAACGGCCACAUUGGGACUGAGACACGGCCCAA
rnacentral:rRNA from 1 species